UUUAUACGUCGAAUUUUGGUCGCGUUGAAUGCAAUUAAGACAAUAGAUAAUGAGAUGAUAAACCUCAUUAAGCUUCAUUAUCUAUUGUUUGAAUUGCAUUCGACGCGACCGAAAUUCGACGUAUAAA
rnacentral:miRNA from 1 species